rnacentral:rRNA from 1 species
CCUACGGGUGGCAGCAGUGGGGAAUAUUGCACAAUGGGCGAAACCCUGAUGCAGCGACGCCGCGUGAGUGAAGAAGUAAUUCGUUACGUUAAGCUCUAUCAGCAGGGAAGAAAAUGACGGUACCUGUCUAAGAAGCCCCGGCUAACUACGUGCCAGCAGCCGCGGUAAUACGUAGGCGGCAAGCGUUAUCCGGAUUUACUGGGUGUAAAGGGAGCGUAGACGGUGCGCUAAGUCUGGAGUGAAAUGCCGAAGCUUAACUGCGGAACUGCAUUGGAAACUGGCGAACUAGAGUGCGGGAGGGGUAAGCGGAAUUCCUAGUGUAGCGGUGAAAUGCAUAGAUAUUAGGAGGAACACCGGUGGCGAAGGCAGCUUACUGGACCGUAACUGACGUUGAGGCUCGAAAGCGUGGGGAUCAAACAGGAUUAGAUACCCCAGUAGUC